GUCGCUCUACUCUCACCACUUGAUGCCCCAGGCAUCUUGUCUGAAAAAACCACUCUGUGCUCCACCUUCCCCAUGUCGAUCUGUAUUUCUGGAACCGCCUGAUACAUAAAGAUAAAAGCCAACCAAAUUUCAACUUCCAAUGAAACUCAACAUCCCCAGUUGAAAACAAUCUAUUUUUAAAUCUUUUUUCCAAUAAAAAACAGAUUUCCCGAUUUGAAGCCAACCAAAUUUCAACUUCUAACGAAACUCAACAUCCCCAGUUGAAAACAAUCUAAGUUAUCAAAGUUUACAUCUUUUUUCCAGUAAAAAACAGUUUUCCCGAUUUG
rnacentral:lncRNA from 1 species